UAAGCUAUGCAAUACUAUCACCAUUUAGUAAAUGAGAGAUGUAAUAUCCUCAGAAUCAUGCUUAAGCUAGAAAAUGUCAUCAAAUGAAAAACUGCAAUUUUUGCUUCUACUUAAAUUUAGUGAUCAUGAUUCCGACGCUGCAUGGCAUUUUCUGACUUUCUUAAUAACCCUGUUCGCUUACUACGUAUUAUACAACACAAGACUUGCAUUUAAACUAAAUAUUUGUAGAACUCAAGUAACUAUAGAACUAAUUAUGGCAAGUUUACUUUCAAAUAUACUGCACAAUUAUUACGUAAUAAACCUAAUGCAUUGGCAAAACAUUUUAGGAAAAAAAAUAUUAGCUAUAUUUAGUUAACUCUGCUGCUAUAUUACGCACCUAGAAAAAGGAGAAGGUUAUAUCAACACGAGUGGAAAUUGGAAAACGAGAAAUUGUGUGGAAACACUCCGCUCUCCGGGCGUUAAAUAAAACAUACUGUUGUAUAUUCUCGCUUGAUAUAUGCACCUGUCGGAGUAUUUCUUAGUAUGCUGUUAUUGAGUUUUUUCCAAUUUUCACGAGUGUUGUUAUAACUGAAUAUCAACACAGAAAAUAUUUCCUAUUUUUUACAAGAUAGUACAAGAAGUAUAAAGGAUCCGGACAAUAUUAAUUGAAGAAACUUUAAGAGCUCCGUGAAAUUUUCCAUGUUGAUAUUAAGUUACGUCAACACGACUUUUAGCCAAUCAGCGCUCAGAAUUCAAAAGUGCUAUAUCAUAACAUAUAAUCAUCCAGAUUUUCUUUCUAAUAUCUUCCGUUGUAUUGCUGGUUAACAUUUACAUUCCGAUUGAGAACCGGUUGAUUAUGCUCUGCCAUUCGUCUUUCUCGUCUUUUAAGAUAUUUAUCAGCCAUAAAGCCUGUGGAGGAAAUGUAAACGUUUUGUUAUUUAGCUACAAGCGUAAGGAAUUCUCCUAAGAGGCCUGGAAUUGAUAAGUUGACCAGGGGACUGUUGUUCAAAGGUGGGUUAGCUUAACCCCAGGUUAAGCUAAAAUUCAAAGCAAAUUUCCUGACAGCUUGUCUAUAAUUAAAUUUGGAGAUAUUUCUUAUUAC